GGGUCCUUAGUUUAAUGGCAGAAUUUCGGUCUCCAGAACCGACGAUAGGGGUUCGAAUCCCUUAGGGCCCA
rnacentral:tRNA from 2 species